CUCUCAGGGUUUAAGUGAUCCAGAAGAGGCAGUGAUAUGUGAAGCUAUCUCCUCCAUGACAGUAUUGUGUAUCAAUUGGACUCUUUAACUUAAGAUUCCUCAUAUCAUCACUACAACAAAUAGUACCUUUCAUAGCACACCCUAAUAUAUGGGCCAGAUAUGGUUCAGUUGGUUUCAUAAUGGCAGCUGCUAGUCAGUUGGAUGAUAUUGAUGCUUUGUGUUACAUUGCUCCAGUAGUGCAACCAUUCCUUAAGUAUAACAGCAUACUAGAACUGGAUAAUAAGUUGGUAUUAUUAAAUGCUAUUAGUGAUCCAAUACCAUGCAGUGUCUUAGACUGUGUCAUGAAGCAACAAGACCUUGAUUCAUUAUUUGAAUGUCUAGCUAAGGUUGAGAUUAGUGACUGGAGGCACUGACAGGUUCAUCAGGUUAUGGCAUCUUAAUAAUCCUUCGGAGUCCAGCUGUAUAGUGAAGGCUGGGGUUGGAUCUGAGAAAAUUGACAUAUUUUAUAGUUCUCAAGUCAUUGAAGGAGUCAAAGUUUUAAGAGAGUUAAAAACAGCAUCAAGAGGAGGAGGAGGAGGAGGGAGUGGGUCAACGGGCAGAGACGAUUCAUAUCCAUUAGUAGCAAUAGGAUUCUGUCCAUUAGAAGGAGGCAUCAAGAGGAGGAGGGGCAGGUUGGCUGCUGGCAUCAUUAAACUUUGGAAAUAAUCGUCGUUAAUUUUUGUUCAAAAUUUGUUUAUUAU